ACUAAUUUGGCAGAUUCAGUGCUUUAAAUUUAGAAUUUAAUAAUGUAAAUAAUUUUACAGUUAGUA
rnacentral:tRNA from 1 species